GAUGAACGCUGGCGGCGUGCUUAACACAUGCAAGUCGAACGAUGAAGCCCAGCUUGCUGGGUGGAUUAGUGGCGAACGGGUGAGUAACACGUGAGUAACCUGCCCUUGACUCUGGGAUAAGCCCGGGAAACUGGGUCUAAUACCGGAUAGGAGCGCCUGUCGCAUGACGGGUGUUGGAAAGAUUUUUCGGUCAUGGAUGGACUCGCGGCCUAUCAGCUUGUUGGUGAGGUAAUGGCUCACCAAGGCGACGACGGGUAGCCGGCCUGAGAGGGUGACCGGCCACACUGGGACUGAGACACGGCCCAGACUCCUACGGGAGGCAGCAGUGGGGAAUAUUGCACAAUGGGCGGAAGCCUGAUUCAGCGACGCCGCGUGAGGGAUGACGGCCUUCGGGUUG
rnacentral:rRNA from 1 species